rnacentral:sRNA from 17 species
AAAAAAAAUGGGCGCAACGCCCAUCUUGUUACCGGUGGUCGCACCUGAGCUACACAUCGAAUCCGUACGCCCAGCGACUCCGCGAUUAUAGCGAUUU